GUACUAUAAAUAUCUGUAUAUAUAUAGUACUAUCCUUUACGUUACGUAGUAAUUCAAAAUCUCGAUCUUGAGCACUACUACAAGGUUUUAGACACGCUGCAGAUUUGGACAACAUGGCCGAUGCUCUUGGCGGAAGGGGGGAAAUGCCAAGCAAUCCCAAUCCAACGGGUGGUCUCCCAAACAUUUCCAGUACUCAAGACACUCUGAAAGAGCUUAAUGAUCAGAUAGGAAAACAAAAAUCGCUGGCCCCAAUAGUGAAAAUGCUGGAAGACGUGCUCAAAGCCCUCAAAACUCUGGAGGAUAAGAAGUAACAUAUAUAUAUAUAGUACAUGAUGAUCAGAGAGAUCAUGAUAUGAUCACUAAAUGUGACCAUCUCCAUAUAAUAAAAUAUAUUAAUAAAUAAUGAGGAGAUGGUCAUUAGAUCACUUUGAUCGUAUGUACUAACUAAUUAGUCUGUAUGUUUGUUGCUUGGUGUUAAUGCACUGUGUACGUACGUACUAGCUAGCUAGCUAGCUUGGUUUGGUAUUUAAUUUCAAAACGCAUGCAUGCAUGCAAGUGUGUUUCUAUGUUUA